rnacentral:rRNA from 1 species
UGGGGAAUAUUGGACAAUGGGCGAAAGCCUGAUCCAGCCAUGCCGCGUGUGUGAAGAAGGUCUUCGGAUUGUAAAGCACUUUAAGUUGGGAGGAAGGGCAUUAACCUAAUACGUUAGUGUUUUGACGUUACCGACAGAAUAAGCACCGGCUAACUCUGUGCCAGCAGCCGCGGUAAUACAGAGGGUGCAAGCGUUAAUCGGAAUUACUGGGCGUAAAGCGCGCGUAGGUGGUUUGUUAAGUUGGAUGUGAAAUCCCCGGGCUCAACCUGGGAACUGCAUUCAAAACUGACUGACUAGAGUAUGGUAGAGGGUGGUGGAAUUUCCUGUGUAGCGGUGAAAUGCGUAGAUAUAGGAAGGAACACCAGUGGCGAAGGCGACCACCUGGACUAAUACUGACACUAGGGUGCGAAAGCGUGGGGAGCAAACA